rnacentral:rRNA from 1 species
CCUACGGGAUGCUGCAGUGGGGAAUAUUGGACAAUGGGCGAAAGCCUGAUCCAGCCAUGCCGCGUGUGUGAAGAAGGCCUUCGGGUUGUAAAGCACUUUCAGUGGGGAAGAAAGCCUUGGGGCUAAUACCCUCGAGGAAGGACAUCACCCACAGAAGAAGCACCGGCUAACUCCGUGCCAGCAGCCGCGGUAAUACGGAGGGUGCGAGCGUUAAUCGGAAUUCCUGGGCGUAAAGCGCGCGUAGGCGGUCUGAUAAGCCGGUUGUGAAAGCCCCGGGCUCAACCUGGGAACGGCAUCCGGAACUGUCAGGCUAGAGUGCAGGAGAGGAAGGUAGAAUUCCCGGUGUAGCGGUGAAAUGCGUAGAGAUCGGGAGGAAUACCAGUGGCGAAGGCGGCCUUCUGGACUGACACUGACGCUGAGGUGCGAAAGCGUGGGUAGCAAACAGGAUUAGAUACCCCGGUAGUC